rnacentral:rRNA from 1 species
UACGUAGGGUGCGAGCGUUGUCCGGAAUUAUUGGGCGUAAAGGGCUCGUAGGCGGUUUGUCGCGUCGGGAGUGAAAACCUCGGGCUUAACUCGGGGCUUGCUUUCGAUACGGGCAGACUGGAGGUAUGCAGGGGAGAACGGAGUUCCUGGUGUAGCGGUGAAAUGCGCAGAUAUCAGGAGGAACACCGGUGGCGAAGGCGGUUCUCUGGGCAUGACCUGACGCUGAGGAGCGAAAGUGUGGGGAGCGAACAGG